rnacentral:rRNA from 2 species
UGCAAGUCGUACGCACUGGCCCAACUGAUUGAUGGUGCUUGCACCUGAUUGACGAUGGAUCACCAGUGAGUGGCGGACGGGUGAGUAACACGUAGGUAACCUGCCCCGGAGCGGGGGAUAACAUUUGGAAACAGAUGCUAAUACCGCAUAACAACAAAAGCCACAUGGCUUUUGCUUGAAAGAUGGCUUUGGCUAUCACUCUGGGAUGGACCUGCGGUGCAUUAGCUAGUUGGUAAGGUAACGGCUUACCAAGGCGAUGAUGCAUAGCCGAGUUGAGAGACUGAUCGGCCACAAUGGAACUGAGACACGGUCCAUACUCCUACGGGAGGCAGCAGUAGGGAAUCUUCCACAAUGGGCGCAAGCCUGAUGGAGCAACACCGCGUGAGUGAAGAAGGGUUUCGGCUCGUAAAGCUCUGUUGUUGGAGAAGAACGUGCGUGAGAGUAACUGUUCACGCAGUGACGGUAUCCAACCAGAAAGUCACGGCUAACUACGUGCCAGCAGCCGCGGUAAUACGUAGGUGGCAAGCGUUAUCCGGAUUUAUUGGGCGUAAAGCGAGCGCAGGCGGUUGCUUAGGUCUGAUGUGAAAGCCUUCGGCUUAACCGAAGAAGUGCAUCGGAAACCGGGCGACUUGAGUGCAGAAGAGGACAGUGGAACUCCAUGUGUAGCGGUGGAAUGCGUAGAUAUAUGGAAGAACACCAGUGGCGAAGGCGGCUGUCUGGUCUGCAACUGACGCUGAGGCUCGAAAGCAUGGGUAGCGAACAGGAUUAGAUACCCUGGUAGUCCAUGCCGUAA